UAAAACUUUCAACAACGGAUCUCUUGGUUCUCGCAUCGAUGAAGAACGCAGCGAAAUGCGAUAAGUAGUGUGAAUUGCAGAAUUCAGUGAAUCAUCGAAUCUUUGAACGCACAUUGCGCCUCCUGGUAUUCCGGGAGGCAUGCCUGUUCGAGCGUCAUUAAAA
rnacentral:rRNA from 1 species